CGAGGAUGGAGAUUUCGGUCUCAUCCUGGCCGACCUGAAAUCCGCGUGCUUCCUUCCGACGUGUUCAGAAGACCCAGAGGGGAAAGACCCGAUGGUCGGAGAGAACGGAAGCGGCGCGGCUCCAGGCUCGGAUGAGGCAGCGGGUGAAAAGGGGCGUAAGUUCUGAGGGUGACUUGGGUUAGAUCUCUUGCGAGAGAUUUUUUUUUUAUGUUUCGGCCUUGAAUGGCCUUGUUUGUAUUUCGGGACUGGCCGUGUGUGGCUUUGAAUCCUUGCCGCUCCGCGGCUUUCUUUUUAUAGUACGAUAAUCGGAUAACGCUUUUUUAUGAGUUUGUGAAUAGUGGGGAGGAAGGUGAUGAGUUGUCGUCUCAUAUCCUUCUUCGAUUGUGAAAUGUUUCAUUCGAGAUCUGUUUCGAGAGUUCUUCCGCGAGAUGUGAACUCUGCGGGGGUGCUGAAGGUGUCGAACAUAAACAUAGGGGCAUGGUUUAAGAAUCUCUUAUCUUUCGAUAUCAUGUCUUUGAGAUGUUAGAGACCAGUGCGCUGGGUUUAGGGCAAGACCUAGGUUUACUUUCGGUUUAAGGAUUGUGCGGUGACUAACCGGCUAUCGUUUUUUCCUGUCG
rnacentral:lncRNA from 1 species